rnacentral:rRNA from 1 species
UUAGGAAUCUUCCGCAAUGGACGGAAGUCUGACGGAGCGACGCCGCUUGGAGGAGGAAGCCCUUCGGGGUGUAAACUCCUGAACUGGGGACGAAAGCCCCGGAUAGGGGGAUGACGGUACCCAGGUAAUAGCGCCGGCCAACUCCGUGCCAGCAGCCGCGGUAAUACGGAGGGCGCGAGCGUUACCCGGAUUUACUGGGCGUAAAGGGCGUGUAGGCGGCCUGGG